CGGGGGGAGCAAGCGUUGUUCGGAUUUACUGGGCGUAAAGGGCGCGUAGGCGGCCUCUGCAAGUCGACUGUGAAAUCUCCGGGCUUAACCCGGAAAGGUCAGCCGAUACUGCAGGGCUAGAGUGCAGAAGGGGCAACUGGAAUUCUCGGUGUAGCGGUGAAAUGCGUAGAUAUCGAGAGGAACACCUGCGGCGAAGGCGGGUUGCUGGGCUGACACUGACGCUGAGGUGCGAAAGCUAGGGGAGCGAACGGGAUUAGAUACCCCGGUAGUCCUAGCCUUAAACGAUGAAUGCUUGGUGUCUGGGGUUUUAUAGUCCCCGGGUGCCGUCGCUAACGCUUUAAGCAUUCCGCCUGGGGAGUACGGUCGCAAGACUG
rnacentral:rRNA from 1 species